CUCUGGGGGAGGGUGGCAUUCCUCUUUUACUGAUAUAAGAUCAAGUUAGUCAUUCCAUUUUUAAUGCUAUUAUGAACAAGUGGGAGAAAUUAGAGGACUAGCCCCAUUCUUCCUUAAGAUUUUCUGAAUCUAGCUUUGGUGUGUGAACUGGAAAAGACUGUAAGAGCAGUUAGUGUUUACACCUUCCUUGCACUGUAUAAUUUAACUUUCAGAAAUACAAAAUGGGACAGCAGAAAUAUUGUUACGCGUUCUUACAAUGUCCAAAGUUGUUUCUUACUGUUUUUAUUUGAAGGAACUAGACACAAUCCUGGCUGCCGUAACCACUGCCUUUGAGAGAGCUACAGCUGAGAAAAUCCGCUGCCAGGAAGAAGUGAAUAGAACUAACAAGGCUAUUGAGCUGGCCAACAGAUUAGUGAAAGGUCUGAGGGGAAAUCAGAAAUGCUGACCAGACAGAGGGGAAGCUGAUACUCUCUAGCCAGGACCCUAAGAGAAAUCUUGCACCAAGUGUCAUGUCAAAUCUCUUACUGACUUUAUGGUGUAUAAGAUCAGACCCAAAAGUAGAAACGUUUUUUUCCUGCCUUCUUCUCUGAGCCCUGACACACCAGGACUAUUUUGGGUGGUUGCACGAGUAGUUGUUACUCUGUACCAAGGAAUUCUUUGCUUCUGACAGGUGCCAAUUAUGCUGUGGACAUCUGCCCUGGAGGCACUGAAUCAAGCUGACAACUCAUUUUACAUCCAUCCACCAACAACUGUUUUCAAUAAUUUCCCAUCCAGCUGGGACUGAAUUUGCACAAGUGAUCUAUGUAUUAGAGACAUUACCCAUCCACAGAGACGUUCAGAACCGCGAUUAUGUUCUGUGUUCCCACAGAAACUCUUGCAUCUGCACGAGAAAACAGCCACUCUUUACUCUUUCCACCAUGCUAGAGGAUGCUGACAGCUCAAUUUUCCUCACUUACUGGCAAACUCACCAUGCAAUGGGCAACAUGUGUCUGAAUAGAAGAUACUUUGUGAGUCUGGGCUGGCCAUAUGCAAACCUCUUCUCUUGAUUACCUAAUAGAUGUGAAUCACUCAAGGUAAUACUGAACUACUUGCGAUUGUUUGUCCACAGUGGUGGACGUUUUUUGAUAAACAGUAACUGAAUGUUUCUUUAAUCCUGUUCCUGUUCUCUAGAUAGAAAAUGUGACAUAGGCUUAAUCAGCAGCACGGUACUAGGUACCAGAGAAAAUACAAUGCAGAAAUGGGCUCCAGAUUGCAGUCGUUAAUUCCUGUGUUAGUUCGUUUUCAAAAUGGUAUUGACAUGAGCCAAAAUCUGUGGAUGUUUUGCUUGAAAAGCAAUAAGGUAAGUGAGAGCCUGCAUAUAAUGCCUUUUUACUGCUCUGCUUUUUAAAAAUGCGCAGUUAAUCAGAAAAAUUCUAGCAGCUAUUCUGUUCCCUUUUUGACCUGUU
rnacentral:lncRNA from 1 species